rnacentral:sRNA from 1 species
AAAUAUGAAAUCAUAUAUAUUCUUAAUCGACUAAAUAAAUUAAAUUUUUAUUCUUAAAAGAACAAAAUCGUCAUGCAAUACAUCGCGGGUUAAAAUCUAGUCUUUCUAUAUUCUCGUUAUACUCUGCAACUAAAUAUACUCCCUCCGUCCCACUAAGAUGAACUUUUAAAAAAUUUCACAUUCUUUAAGAAAUAUUGUAUAAAGAUAAUUUUAACCUCUUAAUAUACUUUAAAAAUAAUAAUAAAUAUUUAUCUAAUUAUUAGUAAGGGUAAAACGGGAAAACAGUUUUAAAAUUUGCAUUGGAAAUAUAAAACUUCUAUCUUUGUGGGACAAAUAUUUUUCCUAGAAAAUUUAUCUUUAUGGGACAGAGGGAGUAUUUUCUAUCAUUCUAAAAAGUUUAAACUAUCAGAAAUCUUUGUGCCACUUAUCAUAUUAGAAAGAAGUAGCCUGUCCAUUUCCCACUGCCACCUUACAAAGCUUGUCUAUCUCCCUUAUGCAUGCACGAGGUAGUCUACAAGCUGCAAGCCAAAAAUUGCAUAUGCUCCACAAAACCCAACUGAUCAGAUUUAAACGUCCAGCAAAAGAAAGAAAUCGGGACGUCCAAGAUUCAAUUUUCCUUGUAAUCUUUUAUAACAGGGGAAGACAGCCAGAUGCUGUGAAUCGCUUAGUGACCAGAGGGAGUCCGAGAUACCUCACUGGUAACUGACCAACUUCGAAAGGGAACCUUUGGGUUAUCUCAUGGUGGACUGAAUCUUAAAUUCCCGUCAGAUACAUUGUCGACUUUUCCUUGCUUAUUUUUAGUCGUGAUAAUUUUUGCAAAAUCGUUUAACACAUGAACUAUUCCUCCUAUUGAUAUGACCUUUCCAUCGGAUAGGAUCUUAAGGUUAUCAGCAAAGCUCAAGUGAGUUAAGCCAAGACUUCCACAUUUCAGAUGGUAACCAAAUUGUCUAGCACCUGAAGCUUUAUCCAACAUUUUAGAGAGAACAUCCAUACUAAUGACGAAUAAGUAUGGAGAGAGAGAGCAUCCCUGUCUUUAACCUCUUGCACUGUUGAAAAAAACAACUAAUUCCCCAUUAACUUGAACCGAGAAGGAAGACGUAGCUAUGCAGAGGGUAACCCAAUGAAUAAAGACUGAGGGAAAGUCCAUGGCUGUGAGAACUUUGGUGAGGAAGUCCCACUGUACCGAGUCAAACGCUUUUGAUAUAUCAAUUAUUAGAGCGCAACGGCUAGAAAUUGAGUCAUUAUGGUAGUCCUUGACUAAUUCUGUCGCCAACAACACAUUCUCUAUCAAUAGACGGUCCUUUACAAACGCUGACUGAUUUCCCGCUAUGAAUUGAGGAAGAACCAAUUUAAGCCGGUUUGCAAUUAUCUUGGAGAUAACUUUAUAUGUCACAUUGCAGCAUGAGAUAGGCCUAUAGUCUUUAAUCUCUUUCACAUUUUUCUCUUAGGAAUAAGUGCUAAUAUCGUGGAGUUGAUGCCUUUAGGUAAGAAGCCUUCAACAAAGAAAGACUGAAUCGCCAAUACAAACUCAUCUCUGGUGAUUUCCCAAGCUCCUUUAUAGAAUUCUGAGGUAAAUCCAUCUGGUCCCGGAGAUUUAUCAUUAGGCAUAGAGAACAAAGCCUUUUUAAUCUCAGCUGCAGUGACUUCAUUGGUAAGCAUCUCUUUUUCUAUUUCCAUACAACAAAAGGGUAGUAACUCUUGAAGCUCAGCCACUGAAAUACCUUCGAAAUCAUUAGGAACUAGCUGCAAAAAUUCUCUAAAGAACCGUUCAGCCUCUGUUGUGAUUUCCUCCUCUUGUGCCGUCACAGUCCCAUGUUGGCAUUGAAUCUCUCUAAUUGUGUUCCGUGCCUCCCGCGUUGUAACAGCUCUAUGAAAUGCUUUAUUGUUUCGAUCACCAAUCUUCAUCCAAUGUAAUUUUCAUUUCUGCUUCAAAUAUAUUUCUUCCAGAGCUGCGACCUUGUCCCAAGUGUCAUACGCCUCAUUUUCUUCUUGCAUUGAGCUUGUGGUGGGGUUAGACAAAUUGGCCUCCUGCUUCUGACACAAUUUCUCAUACGCAUCUUUUGUUAAAAAACACAUUUUGAUUUUCUUAUAAGAAGUUUAAACAUUAUAAAUACUAAAACUUUAUAUUACGGGUGAAAUCUUAGAAUUAACGAGUAUGAGUCAAUAUUAAUAUAGGAUGAUAUACCACCUGUGAGAUCCUAAAAUUAAUAAUUAAAAUACAAUUAUAAAAUCUUAAAACACUAAAUAAAGUAAACAUUAUUAACAAGACAAAUACAACUAAAAAUUUCAAAUAUUUAGUUAUAAAAUAUAGUCUAUCUUACAUUAAAACCAAACAAAACAAUAACAUAUAUCUACAGAAUUUGUUUUAACUAAAAUAUAUGCAUGCGGUGUAUCACGGGUUCAUAUCUAGUAUGCUACAUAAUAAUUGAUUGUAAAUAAAUAAGGUGAGAUAAAAAUCUCCAAAAUCUCAAUUGCCAAUAACAUUACAACAAGUGUGUCUCUCAAUAAUUUCUUUCUU